ensembl:snRNA Gm23928 predicted gene, 23928
AUUAAGAUCUUCUAGAGUGUGGUUUUCCCAGGGCGAGGCUUAUCCAUUGCACUCUGGAUAUGCUGACCCCUGCGAUUUUCCCAAAUGCAGGAAACUGGACUGCAUAAUGUGUGGUAGUGGGGUACUGUGUUCGCACUUUCCCUGG